rnacentral:rRNA from 1 species
CGCUGGCGGCAGGCCUAAUACAUGCAAGUCGAACGGCAGCACAGCAGAGCUUGCUCUGUGGGUGGCGAGUGGCGGACGGGUGAGGAAUACAUGGGAAUCUGCCCAGUCGUGGGGGAUAACGUAUGGAAACGUACGCUAAUACCGCAUGCGCCCGUACGGGGGAAAGCCGGGGACCGCAAGGCCUGGCGCGAUUGGAUGAGCCCAUGUUCGAUUAGCUAGUUGGCGGGGUAAAGGCUCACCAAGGCGACGAUCUGUAGCGGGUCUGAGAGGAUGAUCCGCCACACUGGAACUGAGACACGGUCCAGACUCCUACGGGAGGCAGCAGUGGGGAAUUUUGGACAAUGGGCGCAAGCCUGAUCCAGCCAUGCCGCGUGAGUGAAGAAGGCCUUCGGGUUGUAAAGCUCUUUCGGCCGGGAAGAAAUCGCACAGGUUAAUACCCUGUGUGGAUGACGGUACCGGAAUAAGAAGCACCGGCUAACUACGUG